rnacentral:miRNA from 1 species
UGUGUGUGUGUGUGUGUGUGUGUGUGUACACACAUACACACAUGCAUGCACACACACAUACU